rnacentral:rRNA from 1 species
UACGGAGGGGGCUAGCGUUGUUCGGAAUUACUGGGCGUAAAGCGCACGUAGGCGGCUUUGUAAGUUAGAGGUGAAAGCCCAGGGCUUAACCCUGGAAUUGCCUUUAAGACUGCAUCGCUAGAAUCGUGGAGAGGUAAGUGGAAUUCCGAGUGUAGAGGUGAAAUUCGUAGAUAUUCGGAAGAACACCAGUGGGGAAGGCGACUUACUGGACACGUAUUGACGCUGAGGUGCGAAAGCGUGGGGAGCAAACAGG